rnacentral:tRNA from 1 species
GCGGAUGUGGCGGAAUUGGUAGACGCGCACGGUUCAGGUCCGUGUGGCCGAAAGGUCGUGGAGGUUCAAGUCCUCUCAUCCGCA